UUGCAGGUACUGUCUCACGCUCUGUCUCUAUAUAUAUACGAAAUUUUAGUCCUGAAAGAAGCAAUUGGUUUCUUUUGUGUAACAUCUUGUUCUUAUUGUGAGAUGAAGAUUUUGAUAUGACAUUAAGGUUGUCCAUUUCUUGAUUGAUCUUGCUUCUGUAAAGAACUCAUAAGCUACGCUAGUUUGGAUUUUGAACAUCCUAUAGAACACUACCGACUUUCUCAUCUGGGUUGCCAAUUGAGGUCUUCUGUGUUCUUGUUACAUGUAGAAUUUGUACAAUUGGAUAAAAAAUAGGCAAAAGAACAAUAAUUUUGUCUCCAGAAAACAUCCAAAAGCCCCAUUUCUUUUUGAAGUUUUCAUUCCCCUUGAACCCGUUUCCUGCUGAAAACCCACAUACAACCACAUGCAUUAAAGCUGCCGCGGCUUUUUAAAUUUUUGUAUCUUUUAUAAAACUUUUAUAGUUCUUCUGGUUCAUGCCUGACAUGCUCAGUUGGUAUUUUUGUACUAUAGAAGAAGGGUUUUGGUUGGUCUGGUGUUCAUUUCAAUCUUAGUUUCAGCAUAAAAUUUGAUAUGAAAAUGUCCUUGAGAUUCAGUAUAUGCUAAUUCUUCUUCUUCCUUAUUUUUUUGGAUGGGGCAAGAAUAAUGAAACUCAUUGGCUUUUCUUGUUUCUUUUAAGCACUUCAUUUCUUGUUCCUGAAUCUUGCCCAGUUGUAUUUGAUUUCAUCGGACAGCGAUCUUUUGCAGAAACAUUAAUACAUGUUACUAAAGAAUCUGAUGGAAGAAAAACAGUUGGAUUUUAAUCAGCCACUUCUAUCUGUGAGGAGGUUCGCAUCAACAGUAUCGAUCACAGAAGCUGAUAACAAAAGGAAAAUGGAUAAUGCUCGCCCCAGAGUGCCCCCUCUUUCUGUCUACAAAUCGGAAUUGAAAUCCGGUCCGUUAACGAACCCAGGAACUGUUCCUUUUGUAUGGGAGAAAACCCCAGGAAGGCCCAAGUAUGAAAGCAAACCACAAACUGCGCCUCUUGCACAGCCUCCUGCUGUCCCAAAGCUUCCGCCAGGGCGGAUUUUGAAUGUUGAAAGGAAAGCUUUAGAUAAAGGUUCUGAAGGCACCACUGGUCAGUCCGAAACAAGAAAUGGCCUUUUGGGUUCUCACAAUGUUCCAUCUUUGGAUAAAAAUGCAACUGAAGAAGAGAGCUCCGGAGAGAGAACGGAGGAGACCGAUAUUUCUGGUUUGGAUCAUUAUGAUGAGGCCUACGUAGGUGCACUUGAUACACUUUCCCGGAGUGAAUCAUUCUUCUUGAACUGCAGUGUAAGUGGUGUGAGCGGGCUGGAUAGUCCAGAUAUAAAACCAUCUGGUACUAUCUCUACAGAUCCACAAACUCGAGAUUUCAUGAUGGGUCGAUUCCUGCCUGCCGCGAAGGCAAUAACUUCAGAAACUGCUCAACAUUCUACUAGGAAGCUACCUGCUGUACAAGAACAAUCAAGAAAAAUAAAGAAGAUGGUAACUGUGGAAGAACAGCGUCCAUUCAAUCAAUGCAGAGGACUAAGCAGUAUAACACAUUAUGACCAAGCUGAUGGAAUGCAAGAAACUGAAAAUGAGGAUGAUUAUUAUGAUGGACAAGAUAAUUCAACCUUUAAAGCCUGUGGGAUGUUCCCUCGGUUACGCUUACAAAAUUCCUUCUUUCUUUUGAAUCCUGUACCAAGGAUGAGGAAAGAGGCCCAGCUACACACUUCUCCAACCCAUGUGAAAAAAGUUGACUCUUCAUGUGCGGCUCAUUGCAGUGAAACUGUCAAUGAGCAUGAUAAGGACGUUGUAUACCAUCAAAGAUCAGUGGGUGCACUCAGAACAACAGGGGUGCAUGAAGAUGAGAAUGAGUUGAAAAAUGAAUCAAAUAAGAUUGCUUGCAGAAAUGAUUAUCAGAAGUUGGAUGGAUCUUCUCUGUAUAAGUGUUUGCAGGGUAAUGGCUCAUCGCCCUACCGAGGCAAAUUUGCUGGAUCUGCUGUUGAUGAAGAAAAAGGAUAUUUAGUGAUUCCUGGUAAAUAUAAAAAUUCUGGGAUGAAUGGCUUCAAAGCAGAUGCAAAAGGUGGCAAAAGUUUUCGAGAAUUAUUGGCCAAAGAGAGAAAUGAAUGGGAAUCAACUUCUGCUAGUCCUGUGGUUGAGAAACUCUGUACAUAGAUUCUGUACAUAUGCUAAAACCUCAAACUUCAAAUUCAAGUUCUUCAGAUACGAAAGUCUUAAUUAAUUAUUUUUCUCCAUUGAUUGUAGAUUAAUUUAUGCUUACAACAUUCCUUAAUCUCUGUAUUAUCAGGAAUUGCUUACACCAAUGCCUGAGAUUUAGAGUGCAAGGCUCAUCUUUAUAGUACAAUGAUUCAAGGAUAUGCUUCCUAGGAGUGCACAUUGUUUUUUGGGUUGGGAUAAUGUAAAGGUGAACAUAAAACUGUCCUAAUUUAUAUUUAAAUAAUAAUAUUUUUUACCUUUGAUAACGGUUUUAUUCUCUCUCUCAACCUCAUUUCUAUCUUUUUUACUGCCAUCCUCUCCAUUCACUCUCUUAUCCUCGAGUGUCUUAUUUAUUUUUUAAGUCUCUCCAUUGUCGCCCUUUGCUAUCCUUUCAUAGCACCUCCCCAUCUCCAUUAAUCAUAUAUUUCACUAAACCUCUCACCUUUCUAUAAGAGCCCAUCAACUUUCAAAAGUAAAGUCAAAGCUCUUAAUUCUAGGGUUUUGUGUCAAGUCCAAGAGUUGUUUUGCCAGAGCAAUAGGUUUUUGAGAAUUCAUAGAUUGCCUAAUGUGUUUGGGAUGGAUCCGCGAGGGAGCUUUCGUAGAGCAGGGCACAGGUACUUGGCCAAAAAGGAGGGAAGCGUA
rnacentral:misc_RNA from 1 species